UUAAUGAUUAGUCACCCUUUCCUUCGACUUUUUUCUCCUCUUGCUCUUAAAUCUAGUUUGUGAUACUUUCACCAAUUUUCAUUUCGAUAUAACUCGGUGUUUCGUGAUUCUCGUGCUGUUUUUCUUUUUUUUUUAAAGAAAUCAUCCUUUUUUUGACAAAAUUAUUACAAAGUAUAUAACUCCUCAAUCGAGCAAAUCCUAGCUGAUAACAAGUUUAACACUAUUUUGGCGAUUAUUUCGUCGCCAUACUUUGUCCACAGUAUUUUCUUUGACAAAGUUGAUGUCAAAAAUCGCGAGACCUUUAGAAAAUUAGUUAUUGAUUUGAGCUGUUUGAAAGUUCCCAGGUAGCAGAUCUGCAUAAAAUGUGCAUUUCGUGUCCAAUCUAAACUGCGCCUAAAACGUGAGAAGGCGCCUAAUAUGCACUUAAAUGCGCGUUUCAGAUGGGGCAUAUAAUGCGGUUCGAAUGCAGUUUGCUAUAUUUUGCUACCUGGGUUAUAGCAAAACAAUCCUUUGUAUGAUAGUUAUCACGUAAUUCUGUGUAUGCCUAGAAAUGUAGUGGCUGCUCCCUCGACUUCCGCAAGUUAAAAAAACCGCCCUGGUCAUUUUAGUAAAGAGAAACUCCUCCUAGCACAUAAAUGAUGAAAGAUAAAAGCCAAAUGGAAAAAAUGAUAGGCCAGGGGUUCUAGCGAGUUACCCCCGGGAGACAUAAAGAAUAUUUGUUUGUUACCUUUCUCUCCCCGCCCUUUUUCUUUUCCAUAGUUGGCUUAGAGUAUAGAGUAAGGGUCGAGCAAAAUGUAACAAACUACAGAUAAAAGGACAAACCAAGCUGUCGAAGUUUUGUGUGAAGUUAUCCGGAGGUUGAGCGGAACUUGCCCGGUUUUUCAUUUGAGUGAGACCGGACAAGCGCCGCUCAGCCUGGGGCAAGGUCCUCCCUCGAACACCUUCACGCAUGGAAGUUUUUAAGGAUUUUGAUUUGUGGACUGAAAACACCGCAUUAUCUGCACCAUAGUGUCCUUUAUAAGUCACCUUUCUAUGUACAUACGACCGACUUGCCAGGGGCUUAACACUUAACACUUAGGUAGCCUUUUCCGUCAUGGUAACUACUAAUGUUAUAACUUUAAACUCAUGUGAGACUACUUAAACGUUAAGUCAUAGACGUUUUGCGCCAGAUCAAAACUGAACAUUUACUUGAUUUUUUACAACCCUAUAUAAAAUAAAAAUUAUUAAUUAGUAACGUUGAACUAACGAAAAACUAACAAAGGAGGGUGCUCUGAAAACUCAACGGUGUACAUUGUAUGCUGAAAAAUCAGCGAUCAUUAAUGAUUGCUGAUAUAUCAGUGUACAUGGCAUGAUUGCUGAUAUAUCAGCAAUCAUAAAUGAUCACGUUUAGGUUUUUUGCUGAUAUUUCCUUUCAGACGGAUGUCAUCGGAAAGUGGAUAACAUUUCUAGAUUCCUCGUGAAAAAAGCUUCCAAACGAGCUACUAUGAGAUAGGGUUCAAAUUCACCGCUACCAUAUCUUGGUUUACAUUAUACCGGCAUUUUCGAGAAGCAGACCAUUUCGGUAGUGAACCCUAUUACAUAGUAGCCCGUUUGAAAGCUUUUUUCACGAGGAAUCUGGAAAUGUUAUCCACUUUCCGAUGACAUCCGUCUGGAAGGAAAUAUCAGCAAAAAAACCGAAACGUGAUCAUUUAUGAUUGCUGAUAGAUCAGCAAUCAUGCCAUGUACACUGAUAUAUCAGCAAUCAUUAAUGAUCGCUGAUUUUUCAGUAUACAAUGUACACUGUUGAGUUUUCAAGGUGUUCUGUUGUUACAGAUUUCAAUAGUGCUCUAAAGUGCUGUUUCCACAGCUGGUUCCACACUAAGAUUUUGCAUUGGUUUUAGCUGUUCAAGGGGGUUUUGAUGGUCGUUGAACGCGAAUUUCAUUUUAAAAAAUCACAAAAUUUAAAGUCUGAAUAUCACCUUUGCAUGCCCAUCUGUCAACACUGUGAAAAAUAUAUUUGUACAUGUACGAUAUAUUUUGUAAUUUUCCAUUUACAAUACGAGUCGUACAUUUACAACCUCCCAGUGUCACUCGAUAUUCGAUUCUAAGUCGAUACAUAGGGCUAGUAAAUUGUACAAUUUUAGAUUGACUUCUUCCAUGGAAAAUUUUCCUGUACCCGGUACGACAAGUCAUCACAGUGAAGAACAGUUUGAGCUACGGCACCCAGAUUUUGAGGAAAGCCAUAACUUAGCACUUUCUUUACUUGUAGAAAAUUUGAACAAAAUCGCAUGGGGUUGCAAAAACUGGUCUCGAGAGGAUAAUACGAUCCUGGACCCGUAUGGUGACCCCCUAAUAUUUUUUUUAUACAUUUUUUUAAGGAAAGUGCUCACUGGAAGGUAAGUUCCUGCAAAAUCUGGGCGCUGUAGCCCAGACGGUUCUAGAGAUGUGUGCAUGCAAAGUUGGCGAUGAAGCGCAAUACAUUUAGGGAAUGUUUGAUUAAAUUUGCGUGAAAUGACCUUCAAACCCCCUGCGGGCAACUGAAAGCAGCGCCAAAACAUUACGUUGGGGUGCAACCAACUAUACUUUAAAGUGAGAUUGAAAUCUAACUGUGCCACUGGAAAUACUUCCCUUAAGAUGUGUUAAGUUACGGACCCCUGCUAUUUGCACGACUACCGCAGUGCCCGUUCCCUGCAUGUAUGUUAUUGGUUAUCUCCAACCGCCUUGUACCUGAACAUUUGUCAUUCCUUUAGAUGUGCAUGAUGUGUGUCGUGUUGUCCUUACCUUACUCAUUCCAGAAUGACCACAACCAUGCACGUGAAUCAUUAAGGGUACGUAAAGUCUAUGUAGACAUUCUGAAAGAAACAUCAACAUGCGAAAAAUGUGCUUCGUAAAAUAUUCUGUCUGCCUUAUUCCGACGCUUUUGUGAAACGUUGCUGUACCUAAACGCUGUCGAAUGCUUGAGCAAAACUUUGCCAUGACUCAAAUUUGAUCUGAGCUUUUGCGCCGAUACCUGUAUGUUUCGAAGACCCACUCAAGUGGAGCGAGAACUAUGCUUGGCUUAUUCGUCAGAGCUGGACCUCUAUGCCUUAGUGGCUUGGCAACUUCCUUUUACGGAGAUAAGUACCUUCAGUGGCGUUGAAUGUCCCGCGGUUUUGGUCUAUGAAAAAACAUGUGGGACAGGGCAGAUUUGCAGAAAUUGGCUAUAGCUCCCUCCUGCGUAAACUGGUUUUAUCUUAAGUUCACCGAUAAGUGUGCUACUUUCAGAGCUUCAUCUACUUGUUUAUCCUUGAGACCUUGAUCCCGACCUUAAGGGCACGCUUAACCCAAACUAGCGGAUUUGUUUAUUAAAAUACACAUAAAUACGGAAAAACGCGAUCUUUCAGAUCCACAAUUUAAGGCCGAUCGCGUCCAUAAGGACGGUUUUAGGGUUUCUCGCAGUAUUAAUAGAUAAUGUUCUAAAAGUGGCUCGGAUAUUCGUGGCCCUCACCUAAAUCGUCGGUUUUCGCAGGAGUUACCCAUAGCCAAUUUUGCCCAGGUCUACGGAAGACCACUGUUUCUGAAUUUGACAUCAUAGAUAGACCAAAACCGUGGGACGAUAACAGCGAAUUUUUACCCGUAAAGGGGGGCGCAAAACCACAAUGCAUGCUAAAACCAGCCAGCAGCCUCGGAUUUCGGUCUGAUCCACCCUCGGUCACGCUCUCUGGCUUUGCUGCUGCCUCGCAGGGUCCGUGGCGCGCUCGUGGGGCACCAGUUCGUGGCGGCCCGCGAGCCCUGCCGCCAGCACCGCCCUGGCUGCCGCCGACCCCGAGGAGGACAGCGCGGGCGCCGUGUCCAAGCGCCACAUCGGUGCCCUCGCUCGGAGUGGCAUGCUCCCUGCUUUCCGCAGUCUGCGUUACGCUCGCUCCGGGAGAGCCGUGGCCUCGUCCCCCGACGAGGCCGCCGAGCAGGCGGAGCGUGGCGCCAAGUUGCCCAUGCUCUUCGGGAGGUUUGGCCCCGUCCGUUAUCGGCGGGUCUGCUACUACCGGGAGGAUCCCGAACAUGGGCCGCCAUCGGCAGACUAACGAGGACAGCAGCCCCCGGCGGCGGCGUCCCCACUAGGCUGGCCGCUCUGCGCGCCACGCAGGGGGAUGCGAGGGACGCGAGCCAGCGUCGCGGCCGACACACCUCCAGCCUGAGCAGCGCCACCAUCACCACCAGCAUCACCACCAUCGUGCUGCUGCUCACCUUGCCGCCGCUGCUUCUCGAAGGCGUCUUUAUCUCUUGCUGAUUAAUCGCGUCUGCGGCGGCAGCGACGGUGGCAAUCGCCGCAAAAGAUGCAUAACAGAAGCAGUUCCAUGUUUGUUUUUUUUCAGUUUUCACCAUUAACAUUUUGAAUUUUCAACGGUGUAAAGUAUGUUUGAGUGUGUCGCAACUUAACUAUAAGGUAUAUAAAUUUUCAUUAUACAGUAUUAGUUCACCCGCAUUGUUUCAAGUGGAUGUUAUAAGGUGGUUAAAAAGAAUAUUCUCGCGCUCUCACUUUUUGCUAACUUUAAAUUUAAGACGUUUCUUUAGUAUCGUGUUUGAGAAUUGGUAUAAAAUUUCGAAUAAUUUCAACACUGAGCUGUAGAUAGUGCAACUUUCACUUUCCAGAAGGUGCUUUCAUUUAUUAAAAUACGGAUUGAGCAGGUUUUGCAGUUACAAUGUAUUAUGUGUUUUUCAAGUUAAUCGUAUGACAAUGUUCAUAAACUGCGAAUUGUACCUAAAUUGGGUCAUGGUUCCUGUUUUCAGAGUGUCUACAGAUUCGGUACACUGAAAAAACAAUCCUGAGACUUAUUGGCUUUUAAAGGUGCUAAAUUUUAAUGCCUUUAGAAAGGCACAAAAGUGUCCAAAGGCACCAAAGUAUAGCACCUUUAGUUAAUUCUACUGCCUUCGCAGGGGUGCGAAUCUUGAAAAGCCUAUGUAAAGGAAAGGCAUAAAAGUCAUUAACACGCCCAGAAGGUUGUUGAUUCCUACCUUCGUUUUUCCAGUGUACAUUCAUUUAUCUGGGGCUGGGGGGGAGGACGGAUACAUUCGGAUGUUUGUGGCUGGGGCACGAAUUUUGUAACUUAAACUGACUAUGAACCUUGAGGCAAAUGGACAAAAAAGGUACUUUUAAAAAUGUCACCCAAAAAUACAUGGUGGUCCUGAAUCGUAAGAAAAUUCUGUUUCAUAUCAAUUUACAGCAUGACAUGUUAGUUAAGUGGAGGAAACUCGGGUGUUUCCAAAUGCUGCUCCAAGACAAUAAUAUGUUCUUUCUUUAAAAGACACAGAAAAUAUACUCUUCUAGCUAUUACUACUUUAAUUAGCACUGAAAAUAUACUCUUCUAGGUACAUAUUAUACUGAUGCGACAAUAAAUAUAUGUCUAUAGUUAUAAAUAUGGUAGUAUGAAGUUUAGUAAGGGUUUGUCGAGUCACUUCAGGCGUUGAUAGGGUAUAAAAUAUACCUCAUCAAUUGUAUCCUAAAUUCAAGACAAUAAAAGUUAAUAAACAGUGA